rnacentral:rRNA from 1 species
CCUGGUUGAUCCGCCGGACUGACUGCUAUCGGAUUGGUACUAAGCCAUGCGAGUCAUUGUAGCAAUACAAGGCGGACGGCUCAGUAACACGUAGUCAACCUAACUCGUGGACGUGGAUAACCUCGGGAAACUGAGAAUAAACCGCGAUAGAUCAUUAUGCCUGGAAUGGCUUAUGGUCCAAAUAGUUUACUGCCAUGGGAUGGGACUGCGGCCUAUCAGCUUGUUGGUGAGGUAAUGGCCCACCAAGGCUAUAACAGGUACGGGCUCUGAGAGGAGAAGCCCGGAGAUGGGUACUGAGACACGGACCCAGGCCCUAUGGGGCGCAGCAGGCGAGAAACCUUAGCAAUGUGCGAAAGCACGACUGGGUCAGUCCGAGUGAUUCCUGAUAAAGGAGUCUUUUGCUUGUCCUAAAAGCACAGGUGAAUAAGGGGUGGGCAAGUCUGGUGGUUCAGNCCCCCGGGNCCCCCGGGCCCCGGGGGGAUUCAAAAAGUUUUAACCGCCAAAAGGGGGCCCAACCCCGUUUCCGCAACGAUUGGGGUUCAAGGACGUUAUGGCCUAAGCUCCGUAGCCGGCUCUGCAAGUCUUCGGUUAAUCCACUGCUCACAGAUGGGCGUG